GGAAUUGCAUUCGAUACUGGGAAGCUAGAGUAUGGGAGAGGAUGAUAGAAUUCCAGGUGUAGCGGUGAAAUGCGUAGAGAUCUGGAGGAAUACCGAUGGCGAAGGCAGCCAUCUGGCCUAAUACUGACGCUGAGGUACGAAAGCAUGGGGAGCAAACAGGAUUAGAUACCCUGGUAGUCCAUGCCGUAAACGAUGUCUACUAGCCGUUGGGGCCUUUGAGGCUUUAGUGGCGCAGCUAACGCGAUAAGUAGACCGCCUGGGGAGUACGGUCGCAAGACUAAAACUCAAAUGAAUUGACGGGGGCCCGCACAAGCGGUGGAGCAUGUGGUUUAAUUCGAUGCAACGCGAAGAACCUUACCUGGCCUUGACAUACUAGAAACUUUCCAGAGAUGGAUUGGUGCCUUCGGGAAUCUAGAUACAGGUGCUGCAUGGCUGUCGUCAGCUCGUGUCGUGAGAUGUUGGGUUAAGUCCCGCAACGAGCGCAACCCUUUUCCUUACUUGCCAGCAUUUCGGAUGGGAACUUUAAGGAUACUGCCAGUGACAAACUGGAGGAAGGCGGGGACGACGUCAAGUCAUCAUGGCCCUUACGGCCAGGGGUAC
rnacentral:rRNA from 2 species